rnacentral:rRNA from 1 species
AGUGAACGCUGGCGGUAGGCCUAACACAUGCAAGUCGAACGGCAGCACAGUAAGAGCUUGCUCUUACGGGUGGCGAGUGGCGGACGGGUGAGGAAUACAUCGGAAUCUACUUUUUCGUGGGGGAUAACGUAGGGAAACUUACGCUAAUACCGCAUACGACCUACGGGUGAAAGCAGGGGAUCUUCGGACCUUGCGCGAUUGAAUGAGCCGAUGUCGGAUUAGCUAGUUGGCGGGGUAAAGGCCCACCAAGGCGACGAUCCGUAGCUGGUCUGAGAGGAUGAUCAGCCACACUGGAACUGAGACAUGGUCCAGACUCCUACGGGAGGCAGCAGUGGGGAAUAUUGGACAAUGGGCGCAAGCCUGAUCCAGCCACACCGCGUGGGUGAAGAAGGCCUUCGGGUUGUAAAGCCCUUUUGUUGGGAAAGAAAAGCAGCAGGUUAAUACCCCGCUGUUCUGACGGUACCCAAAGAAUAAGCACCGGCUAACUUCGUG